AGUGAACGCUGGCGGCAGGCCUAAUACAUGCAAGUCGAACGGCAGCACAGUGGAGCUUGCUCCAUGGGUGGCGAGUGGCGGACGGGUGAGGAAUACAUGGGAAUCUGCCCAGUCGUGGGGAUAACGUAUGGAAACGUACGCUAAUACCGCAUGCGCCCUUCGGGGGAAAGUCGGGGACCGCAAGGCCUGACGCGAUUGGAUGAGCCCAUGUUCGAUUAGCUAGUUGGCGGGUAACGGCCCACCAAGGCGACGAUCGAUAGCUGGUCUGAGAGGAUGAUCAGCCACACUGGAACUGAGACACGGUCCAGACUCCUACGGGAGGCAGCAGUAGGGAAUAUUGGACAAUGGGCGCAAGCCUGAUCCAGCCAUGCCGCGUGAGUGAAGAAGGCCCUCGGGUUGUAAAGGCUCUUUUGUUGGGGAAGAAAAGCAGUGGUUAAUACCCGAUUGUUCUGACGGUACCCAAAGAAUAAAGCACCGGCUAACUUCGUGCCAGCAGCCG
rnacentral:rRNA from 1 species